UAUUAGAAGACAGAAACUCCAUACGCGUCAUACACCUGCACCCGGGAGGAAAGGCGAGGCUCUGCAUCUAGAUUUACCUCGUUCUCUUUUGUCUCCGCUUUUUUUUCACAUUUCCUUGCGACCCUGGCCCUUGAGCGACAAAAAGGGGAAGCCAAGGCUGGCCCGAGGAACGGAGAGGGCACAUGGCCUAGCCACAAGUGGAGCUUCUGCUCCGCCCGAAGGGAUGCGCUGGAGCGGCCUCUUCCUUCUGCCACGGUCUUUCUUUGCCAACUAGUAGUAGAGAUGGGGUUUCACCAGGUUAGCCAGGCUGGUCUUGAACUCCAGACCUCAAGGGAUCCGCCUGCCUCAGCUUUCCAAAGUGCUGGGAUUACAGGUGGAGACUGGACCUCAGAAGAGGGAGUGGGUGCCCCGAGAACUCACAGCUAGCGGACAGUGGAAAGGGCAGGAGCCGGACCAAGGUGAGGACAGUGGAACUGAAGGCCGCUGGUUACCUCUCCUGCCCUCCGCUGGCCACAGUGGAGAAGACAGCCCCUCCCUCCUGCUCUGACCUGACAGUGUUCAUCCAUCGCCCUGUAUUAGCGAAGAACAACAUCAAGCUGGCUAGCAAGGAACUGUAUACAGGGUCCAGCUGGGUAUCACACUGGAUCUCACCCAAAGCUUAGAUGUGAUCCAGCUCAGUAUCACAAAGCAGAACGAAAAGGAUGUGUUUGGGCUGAGAGGCCAUACAUUGGCUCCGGCAUGACGGGUGACUUCUUCCGAGUCUGGCUUCUGCAGCACACAGGGCUUCGCCAGCACCCAGCUCCUGCAGCAUGGGCAGCUCCUGUGACAGCAGGCGCCCGCAGCCUGCAAAGCGUCUCCAGUGCCGCCGCCUCAGUGAACCUCAACCAGCGGCACCUAGCAGCUUUCUCUGCCACCCUCUUCAGGUAGUUCUGUAGCAGCGCGUUUCUCAUGAGACACUUCCCUGUGAGCAGCUUUUUCUACCCUUGAGGAUGGAUUUCCAGCAAAUUCUGCCCAUGUGGUACCACAGCCACUUCUCUGCCAUUCAGUGAAACUGCCGUUGUGCCCUCUUCAAGGUCUGGAUCUAAGCCCAGGGACCAGGAAACCUCUUGCUUGAGUGCUGGAACUCAGGCCAGAAGGCAGGAAGCCCGCCUGACCCCAUGUCUCAGGCUGCCAGAGGAGCGUGCGAUGAGGAAGGCUGGACUGUCUUCACAGGACACCAGGGAGAAGCCUCAAGCCACUGCCCCCUGACAAGUCGCAGCUCUCCAGCCUGUCUCCUCACUCCCCUCCCCUCCACAUGGGGGGGUUGGGGUGGGGGCGGGGAAGGUUCGGGGCAGGGGUCAUUUCAGCUACUGGGCACCAGUCUCCUCCUCAUGUUUAUCCUGUUCCCUUUGCUUGAAAGGUUCGUACUCCAGAUCCUUGUAAAACCGCUUCUCACCCUUUGAGUCUCAGCUUAAAUGUCCCCUCCUUGGAGGGGUCUUCCCUGACAAUGAAGCUCCGACCGUCCUCUCCUGUUUUACCCAGUUCAUUUCUUUCUGGCAUUUGUAACUACUUGAAGUUAAAGUGUGUGCCAUGUAUGUGUCUGUCAGUUUCCCCCACCACACUGGAACCCCAUGAGGGCAAGGGUCUUGUCUGGAAUCUUCCUCACUUACAACUCAACAUUUAGCAAAGGACCUUUGCUAAAUUAACAGGCAUUCAUUUUGUAUUUGAAAAAUGAACUAGUGAGGCCGGGCGUGGUGGCUCACACCUGCAAUCCCGGCACUUUGGGAGACCGAGGCGGGCUUGAGGUCAGGAGUUCGAGACCGGCCUGGCCAACAUGGUGAAACCCCAUUAAAAAUACAAAAAUUGGCUGGGCGCGGUGGCUCACGCCUGUAAUCCCAACACUUCGGGAGGCUGAAGCGGGCGGAUCACGAGGUUAGGAGUUCAAGACCAGCCUGACCAACAUAGUGAAACCCCAUCUCUACUAAAAAUACAAAAAUUAGCCGGGCAUGAUGGCAGGCGCCUGUAAUCCCAGCUACUCGGGAGGCUGAGGCGGAAGAAUCGCUUGAACCAGGAGGUGGAGAUUGCCGUGAGCUGAGAUCACGCCACUACACUCCAGCCUGGGCAACAGAGCACGAAUCCAUCUCCGAAAAACAAACAAAAAAACGAAUGUGUGAGGAACGCAGCAAAGCCCCUACAGUUAACGUUUGCCGCCCUCUGCCCCUCAG
rnacentral:lncRNA from 10 species